UACAGAGAGUGCGAACGUUGUUCGGAAUUACUGGGCGUAAAGGGCUCGUAGGCGGCCAACUAAGUCAUACGUGAAAUCCCUCGGCUUAACCGGGGAACUGCGUCUGAUACUGGAUGGCUUGAGUUCGGGAGAGGGAUGCGGAAUUCCAGGUGUAGCGGUGAAAUGCGUAGAUAUCUGGAGGAACACCGGUGGCGAAGGCGGCAUCCUGGACCGAUACUGACGCUGAGGAGCGAAAGCCAGGGGAGCAAACGGG
rnacentral:rRNA from 1 species